AUUGAACGCUGGCGGCAUGCCUUAUACAUGCAAGUCGAACGGCAGCACGGGUGCUUGCAUCUGGUGGCGAGUGGCGAACGGGUGAGUAAUACAUCGGAACAUGCCCCGUAUUGGGGGAUAGCCCGGCGAAAGCCGGAUUAAUACUGCAUACGAUCUACGUAUGAAAGCGGGGGACCUUCGGGCCUCGCGCUUUAGGGUCGGUCGAUGGCUGAUUAGCUAGUUGGUGGGGUAAAGGCCUACCAAGGGCACGACCAGUAGCCGGUCUGAGAAGACGAACAGCCACACCUGGACUGGGACACGGCCCCGACUCCUACGGGAAGGAACCAUGGGGAAAUUUGGCGAAAGGGCGGAAACCUGGUCCAAGAAUGCCGCGUGUGUGAAGGAGGCCUUCGGGUUGGUAAACCCUUUUGACCGGAAAGAAAUCAUUGGCCCUAAUACGGUCGGGGGAUGACGGUACCGGAAGAAGAAGCCCCGGCUAACUACGUG
rnacentral:rRNA from 1 species